GAGUUUGAUCCUGGCUCAGAUUGAACGCUGGCGGCAGGCCUAACACAUGCAAGUCGAACGGUAGCACAGAGGAGCUUGCUCCUUGGGUGACGAGUGGCGGACGGGUGAGUAAUGUCUGGGAAACUGCCCGAUGGAGGGGGAUAACYACYSGAAACGGUAGCUAAUACCGCMUAACGUCGCAAGACCAAAGAGGGGGACCUUCGGGCSUCUUGCCAUCGGAUGUGCCCAGAUGGGAUUAGYUAGUAGGKGGGGUAACGGCUCACCUAGGCGACGAUCCCUAGCUGGUMUGAGAGGAUGACCAGCCACACKGGAAMUGAGACACGGUCCAGACUCCUACGGGAGGCAGCAGUGGGGAAUAUUGCACAAUGGGCGCAAGCCUGAUGCAGCCRUGCCGCGU
rnacentral:rRNA from 1 species